AAAGGAGAGUUGCUCGGACUGCCGCGCAGGGGUGGAGUCUGCGCUGGGGCUGAGGAUUUUGUCCCGGAGCCAGUUCCUCAUUUAGAUCUAUCAUCAAACCAUUUCAAGGAUAUGAUAUGGAUUAUCAAGAUAACAGCAAUUAUGGCUAAGAGUGUUUAUGUCCCAGAAAUAGCUUCCAGAGAUCCAUCUGCUCAGUGUGAACACCUCCCUGUGGUGAUACCAGUAACAAAGCCAGAGUCUAUGUCACAAUG